rnacentral:rRNA from 1 species
UACGUAGGAGGCGAGCGUUGUCCGGAGUUACUGGGCGUAAAGCGCAUGCAGGCGGUCAACUCAGUCUGUGCUGACAGUUCCCGGCUUAACUGGGAAAGUGGUACGGAUACUGGUUGACUUGAGGGCUUCAGAGGGAUGUGGAAUUCCGCGUGUAGCAGUGAAAUGCGUAGAGAUGCGGAGGAACACCGAUGGCGAAGGCAGCCCCCUGGGCUAACACUGACGCUCAGGCACGAAAGCGUGGGGGAGCAAA